CACGUGAGAGUCAUAAUGCAACAGCAUCCCAGUCAACUAACCCCCUAACUGCCAGGAACCCAAGUCCAGGGCUGACUGGAGGGUGUGUGGACUCAAAAGCCACAGUCUGAUCAAAGGAUGGAGGAAAAUGAACUGUCCCUGUCCGUGAAGGAACAUACAAUCUAUUGGAAGAUAUAGACCCUGGGAACUCCUGACACCCACUUCAAAAACUGUAUGUAACAAGAACCGAGGGAACAGGAACUCCACACAAGAAAGGGGUCUUUGAGUAAUGCAUCUUAUAAAAUGGCUCUCGAGGGAAAGAUCAUACCAGCUGCAGAUGGGCCUGUUCCAGAGGGCACAAGAUGAGCUGGGAAGCUCAAAUGAUACCUGCAUGUGGAGGUGGAGGCUGAAGAGGAGAGAACCCUGACUCACUUCCCAUCACCUCGCUGCCCCCUCCCCCCUUUAUUUCCCCAAGGCUAAAUAAAUAAUACACUUAAAACGUGAAGCA
rnacentral:lncRNA from 1 species